AACGAACGCUGGCGGCAUGCCUAACACAUGCAAGUCGAACGAGACCUUCGGGUCUAGUGGCGCACGGGUGCGUAACGCGUGGGAAUCUGCCCUUGGGUUCGGAAUAACUUCGGGAAACUGAAGCUAAUACCGGAUGAUGACGUAAGUCCAAAGAUUUAUCGCCCAAGGAUGAGCCCGCGUAGGAUUAGCUAGUUGGUGAGGUAAAGGCUCACCAAGGCGACGAUCCUUAGCUGGUCUGAGAGGAUGAUCAGCCACACUGGGACUGAGACACGGCCCAGACUCCUACGGGAGGCGGCAGUGGGGAAUAUUGGACAAUGGGCGAAAGCCUGAUCCAGCAAUGCCGCGUGAGUGAUGAAGGCCUUAGGGUUGUAAAGCUCUUUUACCCGGGAUGGUAAUGACAGUACCGGGAGAAUAAGCUCCGGCUAACUCCGUGCCAGCAGCCGCGGUAAUGUGACU
rnacentral:rRNA from 1 species